GACGAACGCUGGCGGCGUGCCUAAUACAUGCAAGUAGAACGCUGAAGGAGGAGCUUGCUUCUCUGGAUGAGUUGCGAACGGGUGAGUAACGCGUAGGUAACCUGCCUGGUAGCGGGGGAUAACUAUUGGAAACGAUAGCUAAUACCGCAUAAGAGUAGAUGUUGCAUGACAUUUGCUUAAAAGGUGCAAUUGCAUCACUACCAGAUGGACCUGCGUUGUAUUAGCUAGUUGGUGGGGUAACGGCUCACCAAGGCGACGAUACAUAGCCGACCUGAGAGGGUGAUCGGCCACACUGGGACUGAAACACGGCCCAGACUCCUACGGGGGGGAGCAGUAGGGAAUCUUCGGCAAUGGGCGGAAGUCUGACCGAGCAACGCCGCGUGAGUGAAGAAGGUUUUCGGGUCGUAAAGCUCUGUUGUAAGAGAAGAACGAGUGUGAGAGUGGAAAGUUCACACUGUGACGGUAUCUUACCAGAAAGGGACGGCUAACUACGUG
rnacentral:rRNA from 1 species